AACGAACGCUGCCGGCAUGCCUAACACAUGCAAGUCGAACGAGACCUUCGGGUCUAGUGGCGCACGGGUGCGUAACGCGUGGGAACCUGCCCUUAGGUUCGGAAUAACUCCCCGAAAGGGGUGCUAAUACCGGAUAAUGUCUUCGGACCAAAGAUUUAUCGCCUUUGGAUGGGCCCGCGUUGGAUUAGCUAGUUGGUAGGGUAAAAGCCUACCAAGGCGACGAUCCAUAGCUGGUCUGAGAGGAUGAUCAGCCACACUGGGACUGAGACACGGCCCAGACUCCUACGGGAGGCAGCAGUGGGGAAUAUUGGACAAUGGGCGAAAGCCUGAUCCAGCAAUGCCGCGUGAGUGAUGAAGGCCUUAGGGUUGUAAAGCUCUUUUACCCGGGAUGAUAAUGACAGUACCGGGAGAAUAAGCUCCGGCUAACUCCGUG
rnacentral:rRNA from 1 species